UUUGUGUGUGUGUGUGUGUGUGUGUGUGUGUGUGUGUGUGUGUGUGUGUGUGUGUGUGUGUGUGUGUGUGUGUGUGUGUGUGUGUGUGUGUGUAGCACUGCCGUGCAUCCCAGACGGCGCUCUGGGAACAGCUUGCUUUCUUGCUUAGUUGUGUGGGAGGCACGUGCAGUAGUUGUUGCGGGACCCUUGCAGCUACAUAGCCGCUGAGUGGCUACUCCAG
rnacentral:lncRNA from 1 species